CCUACGGGAGUCAGCAGUGAGGAAUAUUGGUCAAUGGACGAGAGUCUGAACCAGCCAAGUAGCGUGAAGGAUGACUGCCCUAUGGGUUGUAAACUUCUUUUAUAAAGGAAUAAAACGAGGCACGUGUGCCUUUUUGCAUGUACUUUAUGAAUAAGGAUCGGCUAACUCCGUGCCAGCAGCCGCGGUAAUACGGAGGAUCCGAGCGUUAUCCGGAUUUAUUGGGUUUAAAGGGAGCGUAGAUGGGUUGUUAAGUCAGUUGUGAAAGUUUGCGGCUCAACCGUAAAAUUGCAAUUGAUACUGGCAGUCGUGAGUACAGUUGAGGUAGGCGGAAUUCGUGGUGUAGCGGUGAAAUGCUUAGAUAUCACGAAAAACCCCGAUUGCGAAGGCAGCUUACUAAACUGUGACUGACAUUGAUGCUCGAAAGUGUGGGUAUCAAACAGGAUUAGAUACCCCUGUAGUC
rnacentral:rRNA from 1 species